rnacentral:tRNA from 7 species
ACUAUUUUGACAGAUAAAUGUGAUGGUUUUAGAAAUCAUUUAUAUAUAAUUUAAUUAUAUAGAUAGUA